CACUGUUAUUAAGGCAGACUAACGGACCUCAAUACGUUACCCUAGACAUUUUUUGAGUCAUUUUUGCCUUAUAAACCAACACUGAGGCAAAGACGACGGGGAAGAAAAUUCUGUAACUAGUCCUACGUCAGGUCUGUAAGGUUAUUAGCGGGAAAUAACGGAGAAAUCAAUGAGAAAGCCCAAGAGAACAAAUGAGGGACAAAAAAAGUCUGUUUGGAUUUAAGUGUGAACGCUGCGGGACAAAAUGGUGCCCUGGAAUGAUUGGAGGAGGAUUGCUCUACGUCAUCAUGGGGGCGGAGCCGGCGCCAUAACUCUCAUAAAAAGACUGAUAAAUCAGAGGCUUUGUCCACUGUCUCCACGUCCCUGAUGAUGUCACCGGGUUCAAAGGAGAUCUCGGAUUCGUCCUCUGUGGGAAACACAAGAUAACAUGACUCACUGGUGGCUGCUGUGACUCAGUGGGAAGAAUACUUUGAGUCU